UUUAAAGCUAAAAAGGCCUGGACAGAUUUUCUACAGACUCAAGAAACCAUAAAUGCCACCCUAGACUACUAUAUUCAGCAAAACUUUCAAUCAUAAUAGAUGAAGAAAAGAUAUUCCAUGAUAAAACCAAAUUUAAGAAAUAUCUAUUUGCAAAUCUUUACUCACAAGGAAAGGAUAAAAAAAAAAAAAAAGGAAAACUCCAACCUAAAGGAUUAGACACACUUAAAAAUCAACAAAUUGCUUAUUGACAUCUCACAUCAAUGGUCUCAUUUCCCCAAUAAAAGGACACAGACUAACAGAAUUGAUGUGAAGACAGAAUCCACCCUUCUUUGCUUCCAAGGAACACACCUUAAUAUCAAGGAUAGAUAUCACCUUAGGGUAAAUGGAUGGAAAAAGUUAUCUAAGCAAAUAGAUCUAAGAAGCAAACUAGACUAGCCAAACAAAACUUCUGAUAAAAGAGACAUCACACCAAACAUUACAUCAGAAUAAACAGUUAGAAAAAGAUAUUCCAAGCAAAUGGUCCUCGGAAGCAAAUUGAUGUAGCCAUUUUUAAUAUCUGAUAAGAGAGGCUUCAAACUAAAACCAAUCAGAGGAAAUAGAAAAAGAUACUACAGACUUAUC
rnacentral:lncRNA from 1 species